ACGAACGCUGGCGGCGUGCUUCACACAUGCAAGUCGAACGGAAAGGCCCUGCUUCUGUGGGGUGCUCGAGUGGCGAACGGGUGAGUAACACGUGAGUAACCUGCCCUUGACUUUGGGAUAACUUCAGGAAACUGGGGCUAAUACCGGAUAGGAGCUCCUGCUGCAUGGUGGGGGUUGGAAAGUUUCGGCGGUUGGGGAUGGACUCGCGGCUUAUCAGCUUGUUGGUGGGGUAGUGGCUUACCAAGGCUUUGACGGGUAGCCGGCCUGAGAGGGUGACCGGCCACAUUGGGACUGAGAUACGGCCCAGACUCCUACGGGAGGCAGCAGUGGGGAAUAUUGCACAAUGGGCGGAAGCCUGAUGCAGCAACGCCGCGUGCGGGAUGACGGCCUUCGGGUUGUAAACCGCUUUCGCCUGUGACGAAGCGUGAGUGACGGUAAUGGGUAAAGAAGCACCGGCUAACUACGUG
rnacentral:rRNA from 1 species